UACGGAGGGUGCAAGCGUUAUCCGGAUUCACUGGGUUUAAAGGGUGCGUAGGUGGGCAAGUAAGUCAGUGGUGAAAUCUCCGGGCUUAACCCGGAAACUGCCAUUGAUACUAUUUGUCUUGAAUACUGUGGAGGUCAGCGGAAUAUGUCAUGUAGCGGUGAAAUGCUUAGAUAUGACAUAGAACACCAAUUGCGAAGGCAGCUCACUACACAGUUAUUGACGCUGAGGCACGAAAGCGUGGGGAUCAAACAGG
rnacentral:rRNA from 1 species